GAACCUUUAAUCUGCCUUUACGUAUUCCUUGUCUUCCCCAGCCCUACUGGCCCGAACCAAAUCAUGCUACAAGUCAAGUGUCAAGUUACACCAAAGGAGGAUACGAUGUAAUGGUCUUGGUGAAGGGAAGAGAACAGAAAGCUUCUGGCUGAUGUUUAUGAGGCCUGACACAUUCUUGAUGCUUCAAGUCUCAGUGCAGCUCUCUGCAGAGCAGCGAGAAGUGCAGACUUGAAGACAACUGGCAGAGGUAGAUGUUCAUACACCGCCUCUCCCACGUAGGUUUGGCCAAGCCACCUGACCAGGAGGUGGAAGUGCAUCAGGCUCCAGGCAGGUUUGCAGAAGGCUUCCUGGAGUGUCAGAGAGAAAGUUCUCUGGGGCUCUAUAACCCCGAACGUGGACAAGUUGAGGCCUGCACCUGGCUCUAGGAUCCAACCAGUGCACGGUCUAUGCAGACCUGGCCAAGUGUCAUGCUGUUGUAGCCAAGACUGAACUUGGUGUUCUUUAUUUGCAGAUAUUUAAAUAUAACCCAG
rnacentral:lncRNA from 1 species